AUGGCACAGAAAAAGCCAGAGAUGCUUACUAUAGUCCAAAAUUGUGCAGUGAUAAGUAUAGCUUGCUGCGUGUUCUACAGCCACUGUAGUAACAGGACUCUUUCAAGGGACCAAUCUUUUGAUCGUAGAACUGCUAGCUUGGUUGCAUUUUCACUAUGGAGAAAGCAAAAUGAGGACAAGAGACUGAUUUCAAAGCAAUUGCCUAUGCAUAAGCUUAAGGGCCAGAUUUGCUCGUCCUGGUUUGCUCCGGUUGGCUCUGCCAGUGAUUACCCACUUCUAUGGAAAUGGGCCAUUUAUGGAGAAUUAGCUUCCAAUGGAUCUGAACACUCCAACAUCAUUUCACCUGUCUACUCUUUGUGGGUUACAUUCAUUGGUCUUACAUGGCCAAUUAUGUCGUGGAGCGGUCAACUGGAUGGGCUCUAA
rnacentral:rRNA from 1 species